CUACUGAACACCGACCACCCCCCGGGCUCAUUAACUUCAAAGCGCUAUGGAAUCUGUUGGCGCUAUAUAAAUGGCAAUAAUAAAUAAAGAGAACAGUCAUUUAAGCACUCUCCCUGUGUGGACGCCGUUCAUAUAGUCGAACGCCACGUGUAUGAGAAAGCGGCAACAAUCUUGUUCACACGAAAGGAGGCAGCGAGACUUGGUCGUCGAGUGUCUGGAACUAAAAUCGACUUCCCGAACUCCAGUCCAUACUGUACGAACGCCUGCUUCCUUUUCUCGAACAACUAGGAGAGCGCUGUUCGGUAGUUUUGUUCCCAUGAACUAGGGGAACAAUCGCUACUAUGAGCCAGGGGGAGCAGUAUGUGCUUUUAUUCAGACUUUUUUCAGACUUCGCAAAAUAGACCAGCCAAACCACUAAAACAUAUGGAACUGUUUUGGGCAGGAGCCUCGUGUCACCUAAGACUUCCAUGGAAUUCGAAAAACCCUGAACUGAUCUGGCUGAUUUUUGGAUAUGUUGGUCACCCAGAUCAGGGCUAUCAGGGUAUAUGACUUUUAUGAGAAUAUCAUAUGUUUUAGAGUACAUUUCACGUUUUGGGGAAAUUGUGAAUUUUCUGCUUGGAGAUAAUUAAGUUAUCAUUAUGUUGACCUAAUUAUCUCCAGGCAAAAAUGAGGGGAUUAUAUGUUUGCAU